GCUGGGCAACGCAUCCCCUGCUGCCUCUUCUCCACCUCCGACGCCCCCCGCCCCAACCCACCCAUGGCCUCCACCGCCGACCCCCGUCCGCCGUGGCCUCCUCCUCUCACUACCACUCCGUGGACCUUCCACGUCAUCUCCCGUCUCCGCCGCCCACCGACUUGGCCUCGGUCGUCUCCAGCGCCGCCGCCGCUUCCUGGAGCGGCCCUCCUGUUCGUCGUCCUCCCUCGGGUCCGCCGCGAGCAGCGGCCCUCCAUUUCGUUCGCCCGCCCAUCCCCUGCCUGGGCCCGCCACCACCUUCCAAUCCCCCCCUGCGCAGAUCUGGGGCUGAAGAGGAACAACGAGAUGGGGAUCUGCUUCUUGGUGGAUAAACUGCGAAGCCUGCGCGGGCAGAUGGCCGUUAUGGUGGCUGGCCCCUUAUUGCCUGUGCUUGCCGUUGCUUUUCUCGUCUAAUUGCUGUCGUGCAGUGUGAUGUUGCUUGUGCUUGGGUGCUGCUUCUAGCUACAGGCUACUGCUGGCGCGAGCUGCUGCUGCUUUUGUUGCCUCUGCUAGUGUUUGCCGUGAUUCCUGCUCCUGAUAGCUGCUAGUGCUUGUCAAGAUUUGUUAUAGGAUGUCAACUUGUGAUUGUGAUUGUUGUUUAUUUCUGGCUGCUCUUUGUCUACGCUCCAUGAAAAUUGUUCCUAGCUGCUCCCCCACCCUUGCAUGUUUCCUCCCAGACAUGAUUUGUAUAGUUGUAAGUUGAUGUAGAUUAAGAGCCAAUAUAUUGGAUUUGGUGACAUAAAAGGUGACUGAAAUUUUGGUAUCUCAAGGAAUACAACGACAGCUAGUACAUGACAUAUCGGCUGAACAUCGAGAAAUGGCACUUCCUUUUCUAAUUAGUUGCACAAAUUCAGGAAUACAAGUACAAUGCUGCUAAUGUGCAAUUGCAACUGCUCUCAGUUUUGGCAUCUCUAGGUAUUUUUGGGUAGCGGCAGUCUUUGUUCUUGUUCUUGCGUAUCCUUAAGUAUUGCUUGCUCUUUGAAUAUUGCUAAUAGAUAUCUAUUCUGGACGUACGAAGUUGCAUUCAACUUGUGCAUUAUUUUGCAGUGCAUGUCACUUUUAUUGCGACCAUAUAUCACACACCAUUGUAGAUGAAUAAACAAGGCAGCUGAAAAGUAAAUUGCAUAACCUGAUAACCCUAAUUUAUAUACUGCUUUGCAAUUUUAUUUGAAUAUUGUGCAAAGCAUAUUUUCUUGUCUCGAAUUCAUCAUGUCAUUUUUCGCAGGCCCUAUAGCUGGUUUCUGUUGGGCUUGGGAUAUCUGACUUGAUUAUAUUUAUUUAGCCCGUUAUAAAUUGUUCAAUCUGUAUCUGGUGUUCUUAAGGUAGUAUAUCUGGUUUUUGUUGGGGUACCUAACUUUCUUUGUUUUUUCUGUAAUAUGACGGUUCUUCCUCUGAUGCAAGCUUAAACAUGGCGGUGCUACUGUGGUGCCAUGUCUGCCUUGUUCUCUAGGGUACUAAGGACCCCUUUUGGAGUUUUUCCCUCCAUGUGCCAUCAGCCUGCUUGCUGCCAUAGUGAUAAUUCGAUAUCUCAAGGAAUACAUUGACAGCUAGUAGAUGAUAUAUCACCUGAACAUCUACUACUACUAUCGGCAUGCCUGGCUCACUAGUGAUUAGGAGCCAUGCUUGCUGCCUCCGCACGCCGGAUUGCUGCUGAUCCCAUCACUGGGGAAGGCCUCAUCUGCUUCCUGUCGCUUACAACCCGUACCUGCAGUCGUUCACGCAAGGCACCAGCCAGAAAUGGUGUCAAACAACUUAAUACAGCUAUUUGGAUGUUUCUGUUUUUUUUUUGCGGGGUUGGACGUUUCUGUUCUAGUUGAUCAGAAGAUAAAUGACUGGCUUGUGGCUUUGAUCUGAAGUCUAUUUGUUAAUGCCUGGAAAGAGCAUGGCACCGCAGGGUAGCUAUACUGCUUGGGCUGUGGUUACAAGUAGAACACGAAAACAAAUAUGGUUUCGUUUGUGCUAAAAAGCUAUUAGUCACCUCUUCAUCUUCAUUUCUUUUCAAGCUGCAUGAUUGUACGUACUGAAACACCAAUAGUCCAAGACUAUAUUCCCUAUUAUCUUGGUAUGGGCAUCAAAAUCUCUAUAGAAAGUUGUUGGAGGGUAAUAAUGCGAUUGAUUAACUGUGGGCAGUAGGGGCUCUCUACUUGGUCUAUGGAGACAGGAAACGAUAAUGACUGUUGAAUUUACAGUACCUUGAUGUUGAAUUUACAAGAUGCUGAUGUUGGAUUUACUGUCUUGUAGCUUUUGUAAUUUACAGUAGCUCCACAAAGUUUGUGACUGUUGUUUGUACAGUGAGCUGAUAUUGAAUGCUUGAUCACAUGAAUUAGUCUGAAUGCAUAUUUACAGUACUCUUAUGUUGAAUUUAUAGUAUGCUGAUGGUGGAUUUACUGUCCUAUAUAUUCUGUAAUUUAUAGUAGCUCCAUAUAGUGCCAUUGCUGUUUGUACAGUUAGUUGAUAUAGAAUGCUUGAUCACAUGAAUUUGUAUGAAUGUAUAUUACAGUUUCCUGAUGUUUAAUUUAUAAUACAUUGAUGAUGGAUUUACGGUCCUAUAGCUUCUGUAAAUUUCAGUAGUUCCUAAAAGUUUGUGACUGCUGUUUUUUACAGUGAGCUGAUAGUGAAUUUUCCAGAGGCCACCUCUUUCUGAGAACACCAUCACUACGUUGCACUCUGAUUUUGCUCUAACUGUUGUCCUCCUAAUAGGCAUUAUACUUUUGCUUUCUACUUCUUUUGUUUUGCCAUGUUUGUUACACUUCAUCGUGAUUCUUGUAUAUUAGUGUUUUUCUUCUUGUUUGUUGUUCUCGAUGCUGCAACGGUAGUGACUGAAAAUCCAGCAACAUUCGAAUAAAAGUUGAAGAAUUCCUGUCCUUCUUCUCUUGUCUUGAACUCCAUGCCAGGUGCGGCUUUAUAAUGCUCUCAGUGUUCAUGACAUUUCCUUCUUGUGCUGCAGUAUUUUUAUUUUCCAAGAAAUUCUCAAUAACCUCUUCAUUUAAAUACUCAUCUUCCUUUUCAGUCUGCUAUAACUGAUGGUUAUCUAUGCUAUUCUCAGCUUCAUUAUUACUCUCUGCGUGCUCCAAUGUGGCACAUUGUCUGAAGUGUAUGAAUUUCCGUGUAACAUGAUGGAUCCUUCAUCUUCAGCUACCUAUAACAAGUGUUGUCAAAAAGUCCUACAUCCCAGGGAUUUGAAGAAGCUGGAUCAAUACUCGCUUCAUCUCCUUGUGUUAGUUGCAGGACCUGCAAACAUGGUAGAAGGAAUUCUUCGUCAUUCUGAGUUGCAUGCCCAUCUCAACUUACUAAGGCAGGCAGCAUAUAACCCUGCUCCUCCAGUGUGCAUUGGCAGCAAGAAAGAAAGUAGGUUUCUAGCGAGGUAUUUUCAUGAGUUUCUUCCACAAGUAUCAACUUGAGAUCUUUGAUGAUGCCAUGAGAAUUUUGGGUUCUCUUCCAAAAGUGUGUGAAGAAGAACAAAACUGUCAAUAAUCUAGAGAAGGUUGUGAGUAGUGACCUGGCAGUGUUGCCUUUUGGGCCCUUGCGUUGAUUGCUCAUGGAUCAUAGAGCGCACAGGUCAUACAAACACGUGUCACAUUUGUAGUGCAUGAUAAAAUUGAUUGAAUGUCUCUUUAUUUUGAGUCAAAGUUUUUGCCCGUUGGACAUGUGACAUACAGACAGAUAGGAGUCAGAUUGUUACUGGUUGGCAUAUUUGAUUGAAGGCCAGUUCAAUUUCAGUGAAUUGUAAUAUAGACACGUUUUUUUUACUUAAUACA